rnacentral:rRNA from 1 species
UACGAAGGGUGCAAGCGUUACUCGGAAUUACUGGGCGUAAAGCGUGCGUGGUGGUUUGUUAAGUCUGAUGUGAAAGCCCUGGGCUCAACCUGGGAAUUGCAUUGGAUACUGGCAGGCUAGAGUGCGGUAGAGGGUAGUGGAAUUCCCGGUGUAGCAGUGAAAUGCGUAGAGAUCGGGAGGAACAUCUGUGGCGAAGGCGACUACCUGGACCAGCACUGACACUGAGGCACGAAAGCGUGGGGAGCAAACAGG